AUUGAACGCUGGCGGCAGGCCUAACACAUGCAAGUCGAGCGGAGCGGCGGACGGGCGAGUAAUGCCUAGGAAUCUGCCUGGUAGAGGGGGAUAACGUCCGGCAACGGGCGCUAAUACCGCAUACUAUCAGACGAGUCUAGGUCGGAUUAGCUAGUUGGUGGGGUAAAGGCUUACCAAGGCGACGAUCCGUAACUGGUCUGAGAGGAUGAUCAGCCACACUGGGACUGAGACACGGUCCAGACUCCUACGGGAGGCAGCAGUGGGGAAUAUUGGACAAUGGGCGGAAGCCUGAUGCAGCCAUGCCGCGUGUGUGAAGAAGGUCUUCGGAUUGUAAAGCACUUUAAGUUGGGAGGCGUUACCAACAGAAUAAGCACCGGCUAACUUCGUGCCAGCAGCCGCGGUAAUAC
rnacentral:rRNA from 1 species